rnacentral:rRNA from 1 species
CAGCAGCCGCGGUAAUACCGAGGGUGCGAGCGUUAAUCGGAUUUACUGGGCGUAAAGCGUGCGUAGGCGGCUUCUUAAGUCGGAUGUGAAAUCCCUGAGCUUAACUUAGGAAUUGCAUUCGAUACUGGGAAGCUAGAGUAUGGGAGAGGAUGGUAGAAUUCCAGGUGUAGCGGUGAAAUGCGUAGAGAUCUGGAGGAAUACCGAUGGCGAAGGCAGCCAUCUGGCCUAAUACUGACGCUGAGGUACGAAAGCAUGGGGAGCAAACAGGAUUAGAGACCCGCGUAGUCCCUGUCUCUUAUAC